UGGGGAAUUUUGGACAAUGGGCGCAAGCCUGAUCCAGCCAUUCCGCGUGAGUGAAGAAGGCCUUCGGGUUGUAAAGCUCUUUCGCAAGGGAAGAAAACUUAUCCUCUAACAUAGGAUGAGGUUGACGGUACCUUGAUAAGAAGCACCGGCUAACUACGUGCCAGCAGCCGCGGUAAUACGUAGGGUGCGAGCGUUAAUCGGAAUUACUGGGCGUAAAGCGUGCGCAGGCUGUUUUGUAAGUCAGAUGUGAAAUCCCUGGGCUCAACCUAGGAACUGCGUUUGAAACUACAAGACUAGAAUAUGUCAGAGGGGGGUAGAAUUCCACGUGUAGCAGUGAAAUGCGUAGAGAUGUGGAGGAAUAUCAAUGGCGAAGGCAGCCCCCUGGGAUAAUAUUGACGCUCAUGCACGAAAGCGUGGGGAGCAAACA
rnacentral:rRNA from 1 species